CAGUCGCCGCGGUAAUACGUAGGUGGCAAGCGUUGUCCGGAAUUAUUGGGCGUAAAGGGCUCGCAGGCGGUUUCUUAAGUCUGAUGUGAAAGCCCCCGGCUCAACCGGGGAGGGUCAUUGGAAACUGGGAAACUUGAGUGCAGAAGAGGAGAGUGGAAUUCCACGUGUAGCGGUGAAAUGCGUAGAGAUGUGGAGGAACACCAGUGGCGAAGGCGACUCUCUGGUCUGUAACUGACGCUGAGGAGCGAAAGCGUGGGGAGCGAACAGGAUUAGAGACCCCAGUAGUCCCUGUCUCUUAUAA
rnacentral:rRNA from 1 species